rnacentral:rRNA from 1 species
CGAGUGGCGGACGGGUGAGUAAUGUCUGGGAAACUGCCCGAUAGAGGGGGAUAAUACUGGAAACGGUAGCUAAUACCGCAUAACGUCGCAAGACCAAAGAGGGGGACCUUCGGGCCUCUUGCCAUCGGAUGUGCCCAGAUGGGAUUAGCUAGUAGGUGGGGUAACGGCUCACCUAGGCGACGAUCCCUAGCUGGUCUGAGAGGAUGACCAGCCACACUGGAACUGAGACACGGUCCAG